UACGUAGGGUGCAAGCGUUGUCCGGAAUUAUUGGGCGUAAAGCGCGCGCAGGUGGUUUCUUAAGUCUGAUGUGAAAGCCCACGGCUCAACCGUGGAGGGUCAUUGGAAACUGGGGAACUUGAGUGCAGAAGAGGAAAGUGGAAUUCCAAGUGUAGCGGUGAAAUGCGUAGAGAUUUGGAGGAACACCAGUGGCGAAGGCGACUUUCUGGGCCUUACCUGACGCUGAGGAGCGAAAGCUGGGGGAGCAAACAGG
rnacentral:rRNA from 1 species